CACACACACAUACACACACACCUUUCAAUUAUUUAACAGGAGGUCUUUGGUCUUUGUUUCAUCUCAUGUCUGUACCUCCCACCUCUGCCACCAUUCCAUGCCUCCCUUCAAGCUAUCGGAGCAAAGCAGAACAGGAGGAGGGGCUUGCUUUGUGUUCCUGGAGCUCAAAUGAAAUGUGAAGUGAGCUGGAAAGAGAUCCUUGUGUGACCGGCGUUAGCAGAAGGAGAGGAAACAGCUGGACUGAAUUUCACCCGUGGUUUGUGAACAAAAAAAAUCCCUCUGCUCGGAAACCGAACGUCACAUUACUUAGACGCUUUGUGGAAAGCCUUUCGUGCAUUUGUCUUUAUCACGCCUUGUUCACAUCAAAGACGCUUCCUUGCUGAAGCCAGAGGCCUGGUUUACUGACUUGGUUGAGCCAGAAAGCUGCAGGGAAGUAAAGGUGAGAAGCGAGAAGCCUGCAGCUUUCCGUCCACAGCUUCCGACAUCCAUUCUACCAAUUGCUGUUGUCGAUAUAAUUGUGAAUGAUGGCUCAGUUGACAGCAUAAUGACUUCACAUUUUGCUGUUCAUUGCAGAAAAACUGUGAUAAUGUUGUCCA